UGGGGAAUAUUGGACAAUGGGCGCAAGCCUGAUCCAGCCAUGCCGCGUGAGUGAUGAAGGCCUUAGGGUUGUAAUGCUCUUUUUGGCGGGGACGAUAAUGACGGUACCCGCAGAAUAAGCCCCGGCUAACUUCGUGCCAGCAGCCGCGGUAAUACGUAGGGACCAAGCGUUGUUCGGAUUUACUGGGCGUAAAGGGCGCGUAGGCGGCAAUUCAAGUCAUCUGUGAAAUCUCCGGGCUUAACUCGGAACGGUCAGAUGAUACUGCUUUGCUAGAGUGCAGAAGGGGCAAUCGGAAUUCUUGGUGUAGCGGUGAAAUGCGUAGAUAUCAAGAGGAACACCUGAGAUGAAGACGGGUUGCUGGGCUGACACUGACGCUGAGGCGCGAAAGCCAGGGGAGCAAACGGGAUUAGAUACCCAGGUAGUCCCUGAGCGGGCUGGCAAGGCGCAU
rnacentral:rRNA from 1 species